GUAGGGAAUCUUCGGCAAUGGACGAAAGUCUGACCGAGCAACGCCGCGUGAGUGAAGAAGGUUUUCGGAUCGUAAAACUCUGUUGGUAGAGAAGAACGUUGGUGAGAGUGGAAAGCUCAUCAAGUGACGGUAACUACCCAGAAAGGGACGGCUAACUACGUGCCAGCAGCCGCGGUAAUACGUAGGUCCCGAGCGUUGUCCGGAUUUAUUGUGCGUAAAGCGAGCGCAGGUGGUUUAUUAAGUCUGGUGUAAAAGGCAGUGGCUCAACCAUUGUAUGCAUUGGAAACUGGUAGACUUGAGUGCAGGAGAGGAGAGUGGAAGUCCAUGUGUAGCGGUGAAAUGCGUAGAUAUAUGGAGGAACACCGGUGGCGAAAGCGGCUCUCUGGCCUGUAACUGACACUGAGGCUCGAAAGCGUGGGGAGCAAACAGGAUUAGAAACCCGGGUAGUCC
rnacentral:rRNA from 1 species